CCUACGGGGGGCUGCAGUGGGGAAUAUUGGACAAUGGGCGAAAGCCUGAUCCAGCCAUGCCGCGUGUGUGAAGAAGGCCUUCGGGUUGUAAAGCACUUUCAGUGGGGAAGAAAGCCUUGGGGCUAAUACCCUCGAGGAAGGACAUCACCCACAGAAGAAGCACCGGCUAACUCCGUGCCAGCAGCCGCGGUAAUACGGAGGGUGUGAGCGUUAAUCGGAAUUACUGGGCGUAAAGCGCGCGUAGGCGGUCUGAUAAGCCGGUUGUGAAAGCCCCGGGCUCAACCUGGGAACGGCAUCCGGAACUGUCAGGCUAGAGUGUAGGAGAGGAAGGUAGAAUUCCCGGUGUAGCGGUGAAAUGCGUAGAGAUCGGGAGGAAUACCAGUGGCGAAGGCGGCCUUCUGGACUGACACUGACGCUGAGGUGCGAAAGCGUGGGUAGCAAACAGGAUUAGAUACCCGUGUAGUC
rnacentral:rRNA from 1 species